UAUUAACUACAAAGUGCGUUAGGGAUUGCAGCGACAUCCUUUUGCUUUUUUCGCAAAAGAUAUAGCGGAAAGCCCGACCCUUG
rnacentral:sRNA from 1 species